rnacentral:rRNA from 1 species
CAGCCGCCGCGGUAAUACGAAGGGUGCAAGCGUUACUCGGAAUUACUGGGCGUAAAGCGUGCGUAGGUGGUGGUUUAAGUCCGUUGUGAAAGCCCUGGGCUCAACCUGGGAAUUGCAGUGGAUACUGGGUCACUAGAGUGUGGUAGAGGACAGUGGAAUUUCCGGUGUAGCAGUGAAAUGCGUAGAGAUCGGAAGGAACAUCUGUGGCGAAGGCGACUAUCUGGGCCAACACUGACACUGAGGCACGAAAGCGUGGGGAGCAAACAGGAUUAGAUACCCGUGUAGUCCCUGUCUCUUAUAC